UUCAGGAGCUAGUGCGGCGGCGCGGCCUCUGCGUGCCCUCUGACCUGCUGGCAGUGGGCGGAGGGGGAGUCGGGCGCCGCCAUAUUGGCUGUUGUCCUGUGUGGGGAGCGGCGGCAGUGGCGGCGCGAGUGGAGCGAGGGAGCGGCGCGAGUGGCAGCAUGACUCGGAGGCGGAGCAGGCCGAGCGGCGGCGCGGGCCGGCGCGAACGGGCACGGGCUGCGGGGCUGCAGAAGCCCCAGGCGCCCGAGCCCCCGCCGCCGCCAACCUUGGAAGCGGGACCGGGUGCAGGGCCCCAGGAGGCUCCGGCGGAGUCCGAUCGCGACGGCCCCAAAGAAGAGGAUGAACCCAAGCUGGUGCCUGGCCCGCAGAUCCCAGGUUUGGCGAAUCCUGCUGAGAGUGAGCAGUAGGAGGAUUUUCGAAAGCUUCCAGCUUGCCACCUGGAAGACGGUCACUUAAUUUUGAGCAAAGGAGAUAAUAGGAGGAAGGCAGGCCCCUGCAGGAGUCUUGGAGGGUCGGAUGCAGCGCCGGAUGAGGAUGAGGCGUGGCGGAAGAUGCGUUUGGCUCUGCAGACACUGCAUCGGGCAGCAGGGGACUCUGGGAGGCUGGUGCAGCCAGAAGGCAUGGCUCUUGACAGCCUUCUAGUAGAAUCUCUGGAAUUGUGCAUGUCCCCUUCACCUCCAGCCAGUCUGUACAGACUUGCUGCCUGCUAUGUCACCGGGAACGCAAAGGCUGGGAAGAAGGCCCUUCACAAAACGGACUGGUGUUACAGGGUGAAAAGCUACCCCCUGACUUCAUGCCAAAGCUCGUCAAGAAUCUCCUAGGCGAGAUGCCUCUAUGGGUCUGCCAGAGUUGCCGAAAGAGCAUGGAGGAAGAUGAAAGGCAGACAGGUCGAGAACAUGCAGUGGCGGUACGUAACCACUGACAGGGGGCCUCAGGGUGGCCACAUCCCCAGGAAAGGUAGGCUGUUCCUUCCCUGUCUUUUCAAGGACUUUCCUUGGGAACCUCCCAUGCUCAGAUGCUAAAAGAAUUGUGGGCUACAUUGACACCUUGGGAGCUCAGAUUCAGAUUCGGGGGAGAGAGAAACAGUCUUCAGGCAACCCUCUGGCCUCAGCAUAGUUCAUACAGAAGGUGAAGACCUCAUAGAUUACGGUAGAUCAUGAUCCUAUUCCCUCAGGUGACCCUGAUACCUUCUAAUUCCUUGACACUUUGAAAGGUAAACCUUUAUGACACAAAAGGCAGAGGUCAGUUUGAGAGUCUGAAGU
rnacentral:lncRNA from 1 species